ACGGGAGGCAGCAGUGGGGAAUAUUGCACAAUGGGGGAAACCCUGAUGCAGCAACGCCGCGUGAGUGAAGAAGUAUUUCGGUAUGUAAAGCUCUAUCAGCAGGGAAGAUAAUGACGGUACCUGACUAAGAAGCUCCGGCUAAAUACGUGCCAGCAGCCGCGGUAAUACGUAUGGAGCGAGCGUUAUCCGGAUUUACUGGGUGUAAAGGGUGUGUAGGCGGCAUGGCAAGUCAGAUGUGAAAGACCGGGGCUCAACUCCGGGGCUGCAUUUGUAACUGUCAGGCUGGAGUACAGGAGAGGCAGGCGGAAUUCCUAGUGUAGCGGUGAAAUGCGUAGAUAUUAGGAGGAACACCAGUGGCGAAGGCGGCCGGCUGGACUGUUACUGACGCUGAGGCACGAAAGCGUGGGGAGCAAACAGGAUUAGAUACCCUGGUA
rnacentral:rRNA from 1 species